AGACUUACAUUUGUCAAGGCUCGACAUCAAUGCUCAUGAGAACCCUUUGAUUUCAUCUCCCCUCUCAGUCAAGUCAGAGAAAAGCUUGGCCCUUUGAAAUAGCUGCCAUGCAAUGCCAGGUCAGUAGUGCUUUCACCUUGAUUAUGGUUAAAGUCUUUCAAUCUCAUGCAUCAGUAGGCGCUUCUCCAACACCUUAAAACUAAAGAAGGGUCACAAAAAAAAAAAAAAAAUCCCAUAAAAGAGGAAAAAUUGGUGAUGGUGUUGGCAUAGAGUUGAAAGGUUUAUUAGCACGGCCUGACAUUUGCAUCCAUGACAAAGAUCCAUUGAGCUAAGCCAUCGAUUGAUUCGUAGCCUCAGAAUAUCUACCGAUGAACCAGUGAUUUUAAUAGACGUUCAAGGUGAGAUGUUUACGGUCUCAUCACAGAAAGUAAAGAGUUCCUUUCCAAAGUCACUACCAAUUUCAAACACCAAAGAAAACUAUGAGACUUUUCCUUGGGACUGUUCCUUUUUCUUUCCGAUACUUGAAACCAUAUCCUAAACAUUUGUCCCUUUACAUAAGUUCCAAAAAGAUCAGCAUCAAGAAAGAAGCCUCUCUUUUUCCCACGCUGAAAGGUACUACUCACCACAACUUUCCACCUGCUCUGAUAUCAAUACAAAACUAUGAUAUGUAUAAUAAUAGUGUCUACAAGCUCAUAGUCGCCAAACGUGUCUCCCACCUAAAGUUACUAUUCUAUUUGGGCAAUGCUGCCAGCCAUGCCUAUUGCUUUGCUUCUCCAUGCACGUUAUCGACUUAUAGGGGCUACAUCAGGACUUACCAAAUAAACAAAGGUGAGUAAGUAGAUGGAUGUCGUGUGAUCUUCGUACCAUCAUGCUUGGCAUGUCAAAAAUAUGUAACCCGGAUCAACCAAAUUAAGCCUUUUGAGACUAAUCCACAAAAUCUCGCCUUCAUCAUUUCAUUUGCUAGCUAAACUUCUAUCUUUUCAUUUGCUAUCGUAUCUGAUCCAUCCCUUCUUUCGAUCUUUUUCAUUUGCUAGCUAAACUUUAACCCCAUUGCUCAACUACACAUGACCGCCAUGCUUAUUCUAUAUUGGAACGUGUAAGACUCUGUCAACAGCCCCCAUUGGAGAGGAUGUUGGAAAAUGAAUGAAUCCCUCUUGGAGCUAUUACAUGAUCUUUGUCUAGUUUAUAUACCUUCUUGGGGUGAUCCAACAAUUUGUCUCAAAAAGGGCUUCUUUAGAGUUGGUAACCGGAUUUCACGCAUAUCUUAUUUAGAAGAAUCGAGGUUUGUCUUCAAUUGCAACUUAGAUUGACGUAUUCGUCUGUUUCUUCUUUGAAUAACAAGUAACCUUUUGUGUGUUGACAGUUUGUGAUCAAACAAUGUGAUCAUAUGUCAAGACAACGCAUCAAACAGUUUGUGUGUUGACUUUGGUUCACAAUCACAGUUUCUUGCCCAUUCUUGAGGUAAUUUAGAUGACACGCUAUUGGAGUGGAAGAGAUGCACGUCUAUGAGGAUGGCAGUGCCAAGCUACUUAUGACACUGUUCACAUUCAAAGUUGACAUGAACGAAUUUUUCACACUUUGUUCUAUCAAUAAUAACGCAUUCGUAGCAAUAAGAAUAUAUAGUCCCUUUUCAAGAAG
rnacentral:lncRNA from 1 species